rnacentral:rRNA from 1 species
GUCUACGGCCAUGCCACCCUGAGCAUGCCCGAUAUCGUCUGAUCUCGGAAGCUAAGCAGGGUCGGGCCUGGUUAGUGCUUGGAUGGGAGACCACCUAGGAAUACCAGGUACUGUAGGUG